GGCGGGAUAGCUCAGUGGUAGAGCACCGGGCUCAUAAUCCGGAGUGCGCUGGUUCGAGCCCAGCUCCCGUCA
rnacentral:tRNA from 1 species